rnacentral:rRNA from 1 species
AGAGUUUGAUCAUGGCUCAGGAUGAACGCUGGCGGCGUGCUUAACACAUGCAAGUCGAACGGAAAGGCCAGUGCUUGCGCUGGUACUCGAGUGGCGAACGGGUGAGUAACACGUGGGUGAUCUGCCCUGCACUUCGGGAUAAGCUUGGGAAACUGGGUCUAAUACCGGAUAGGACCAUUGGUUGGUGCCUUUGGUGGAAAGUUUUUUCGGUGUGGGAUGAGCUCGCGGCCUAUCAGCUUGUUGGUGGGGUAAUGGCCUACCAAGGCGUCGACGGGUAGCCGGCCUGAGAGGGAGUACGGCCACAUUGGGACUGAGAUACGGCCCAGACUCCUACGGGAGGCAGCAGUGGGGAAUAUUGCACAAUGGGCGCAAGCCUGAUGCAGCGACGCCGCGUGGGGGAUGACGGCCUUCGGGUUGUAAACUCCUUUCGCCAAAGACGAAUGUGGACGGUAUUUGGAGAAGAAGCACCGGCUAACUACGUG